UCUGAAUCUGCGAACGGCUCCGCAAACCAGUUGUAAACCAUAGCAAGCAUGCCCUGGGUCUGCCGCAAGGUGGGUCCGGGGCUACAGGGAUAACCCUGGUAAUUCUGAGGCUAAUACAUGAACGUAACCCCUGGUCGAAGGGCAACCGGAGGCCGGGGACCGUGCGAGUGGGCGCAAGGAUUAUUGGGAAUAGUCGCACAGUAGGACCAUCAUAUCAAACGGUAUCUGCCCAUACUUCCUCACGGGAGUCGGUGGUGUCCGGGUGGCUCUUGCAAGGUGCUUCUGACCUAUCAACUAGAUGGCAGCGUAACGGACAUGCUAUGGU
rnacentral:rRNA from 1 species